CCUGAUCUUUGUUCCACGACACGCACUUCAGAUGGAUGUUGUUCGGAAUCGCGAUCUGUUCGGAACCACAGCCGGGCUUAGUGCGUCUUCUGAGGACAUGUUUGCUGUAUGGAGGCAGAUGACUUACCUUCUUGCUGAGGCUCUGCAGGCUCUCAACACUGAGGAUUUGAACAGGACAAGGCAGAGAUUGUUUGGCAGAGAGAGGAUGUAAACCUGUCUGUCUUCAGCUUUCCAUCACAUAUCUAAACAAUGGAAGCGACAUUCAAGAACAUCUUGAUUUCAGCACGACACGCACUCAACUCCAUCUCCUGACUGCAGACCGAAGUAGGAAAGAAAUCCACCAGUUCUUUAUCACCAAUGCCAUCGCCUGCAGUUUGCAGUUUGGACUCCCCAGUCCAGCAGACAGAAUCUUCACAGCAGAUUCCUGAAGGGGGUUCCCACUCAGGUCCAGCUCUCUCAGAUGGGACGGGUUGGACUUCAGAGCGGAGGCCACAACCUCACACUAACAUUUGUGUUGACACACACGAGGCACAGGACGCCAAUAGAGGCCCAGCUAAAAGAAAACAAGCAGACUGACCACAGCGGGGAGUUAUGAUGUCACCAGACAGCUGCUCCUCACCACACCUGCCACUGUUUUUUGUCUCUCUGUAAAGAAGAAAAAGUUCUGAGGAAAAACCACCUGAAUACUUGACGGGAUGAGUUUUCUGAAAAGAUAAAACUUUAAGUGAUUUUCAGUGUUUGGCAUUAAACAGAGAUUUUAAAAAACAUACUUUAAGACUGAGAGUGUCCAACUUCACACUUUACAAAAAUGGCGUAUACUUAUUUUUGUCUUGCUUUGAGGCCCAAAGUGCUUUACAGUCACAGUUCAUGCACACACAUAUGAUGCCAUAUUGAUGCCAAAAGUUUAGAAAACCAAAAAGCAAAUUGAAACUGAAUGCUGAAAAAUAAAUAAAAUCAUAAACAGACUUUGACAAAGAGAAUAAUGAUUUCUGGAAGUCACAUAUAACCUUGAUGUUUUUUUGUAAGUUUCUGUUUUCAACUUUCAUAACUCAAAUUUAAACAGAUAAUAAGGAAUCAAACUUACUGCAAAAACAUGUUUUUGAGAGAAUCAUAGAAACGUAUAAGGAAACUAAAAAAUGUCUUUAUUCUCCAUUAACUUAAAAAAAAUCUAAAUUAAAUGUGACUUUUUUUUGUUGCUAUAGUCAGUUUAAUAAUAAUAAAUACCAAAGAGUUGCUCCUGUUGAACUGGCUCACUGCUUCCUCGUAAAUGUUACAUAAACGUGACAACAAUUUCAGAAAUGAAGAUGCAGAUUUGAACAGUGAAUUUUAAGAAGAUUUUUAUUCUGAGUUCAGCAGAAAUGAUCUCUUACGUCUCGUCUGAAGGUUCAUGGUUGAAGUAAGGGUUUUUAUCCUUGGAUAGAUCACUGCUCAUGGACACACAGCUGGAUGAUGAAGAGGGGACUCCUGCUCCAAGAUGAUGUUUCCUAAAAAAAAAAAAAACAAAUGCUUCUUUAAGAUACUUUGGAGGCCGUCUUCUGGACAGAUACGCCGGUUCAACUCCCAAAGAAAAGGGGCUGAGAGUUGUCCUUCAAAAACAGGAGAUCCACACUCCUCAGACCCCUGACAGAUCCAUGCAGGAGUUCUGGAGGCAGGAGUCCAAUCAGUCUGUAUAUGUCAGAUUCAGGAGGAUCUCUUCUGACCAUGGAACAGUGGACCAGCUCUUUACCCUGGCAAGGAUCCUACAUUGAUCUUUGCAGUUUGCACAUCAAGUUUCAUUGACUUGGAAAAGAGAUAACCAAAGAAAAGAAUUAAAGAAAACAUCUCAAUUUAAUUUAUUUAGUGUUCCUAAAAGUGAGCUUGGGUACACUUCUCCAUUCCUGCUCCACAACAUCCACCUCUUCUCUUCUGUGAUCUCUAACAUGUCCACAUUCACCAGAUCUUUCUGUUUCCAUCACAUUUGAUUAAAUUUUCAGCACAUUUCAAUCUCUGUUCUUCAACUUCCUAACCUGCUGCACAUCCUUCCAUCUUGAUAUUCUCCAACUUCUGAGAAAAUUACUCCUUUAGUGAACUAACAGAAACUCUUACUUCUCAUCUGAAGCUCCACGGCUGAAGUAAGGGUUUUUAUCCUUGGAUUGAUCACUCCUUAUGGACACACGGCUGGAUGAUGAAGAGCAGGAUCCCCGUUUGAGCCGAUGUUUUCUAAGAACACAAACAACUCUUUUAUUUAAGUUCAGUCAAACUUUUGAGUUUAGAGUUUCAUGUUGUUUGAGGAGACAGAACUGAAACAAACACAAAGAAGAUAUUUAGGAAGAAAGUGACUGAAUUCAUGCAGCGCUAAAACUCAGGAGGUCUUUUAAAAAAUCAAAAA